rnacentral:hammerhead_ribozyme from 1 species
CUGAUGAGUCCCAAAUAGGACAAAACGCGCGUC